GACGAACGCUGGCGGCGUGCCUAAUACAUGCAAGUCGAGCGGAACUGGGGGAGCUUGCUCCUUCCAGUUUAGCGGCGGACGGGUGAGUAACACGUGGGCAACCUGCCCUGCAGAUCGGGAUAACUCCGGGAAACCGGUGCUAAUACCGAAUAGUUUGGCGCCUCUCCUGAGGCGCUACGGAAAGACGGUAUCGGCUGUCACUGCAGGAUGGGCCCGCGGCGCAUUAGCUAGUUGGUGGGGUAACGGCCCACCAAGGCGACGACGCGUAGCCGACCUGAGAGGGUGACCGGCCACACUGGGACUGGGAAACGGCCCAGACUCCUACGGGAGGCAGCAGUAGGGAAUCUUCCGCAAUGGACGCAAGUCUGACGGAGCAACGCCGCGUGAGUGACGAAGGUUUUCGGAUCGUAAAACUCUGUUGUGAGGGAAGAACACGUACCAACUAACUAUUGGUACCUUGACGGUACCUCGCCAGAAAGCCACGGCUAACUACGUGCCAGCCGCCGCGGUAA
rnacentral:rRNA from 1 species